AGAUUGAACGCUGGCGGCAUGCCUAACACAUGCAAGUCGAACGGGAGUAGCAAUACUCUAGUGGCGGACGGGUGAGGAAUACGUAGGAAUUUGCCCUUAAGUGGGGGAUAACCCGGGGAAACCCGGAUUAAUACCGCAUGACCUCGAAAGAGCAAAGUGGGGGAUCGCAAGACCUCACGCUUUUGGAGAAGCCUACGUCGGAUUAGCUAGUUGGUGAGGUAAUGGCUCACCAAGGCGACGAUCCGUAACUGGUCUGAGAGGAUGAUCAGUCACGACCGGAACUGAGACACGGUCCGGACUCCGUACGGAGGCAGCAGGUGGGGGAAUAGUUGGACAAGUGGGGACGCGAAGCCGUAGACUCCGAAGCAAGUCGCCGUCGUGUGUGGAAGAACGGCCGUGGCGGGUUAGUAAAGCUAACGUUUAAGUAGG
rnacentral:rRNA from 1 species